rnacentral:rRNA from 1 species
UACGUAGGGUGCGAGCGUUAAUCGGAAUUACUGGGCGUAAAGCGUGCGCAGGCGGUUCGUUGUGUCGGCGGUGAAAGCCCCGGGCUCAACCUGGGAACCGCGCUUGAGACUGGCGGGCUAGAGUUCGGGAGAGGAUGGUGGAAUUCCCAGUGUAGAGGUGAAAUUCGUAGAUAUUGGGAAGAACACCGAUGGCGAAGGCAGCCAUCUGGACCGACACUGACGCUGAGGCGCGAAAGCGUGGGGAGCAAACAGG